CACACACAGCACAGCUAAACUGGCCAACAGGGGCUCUCGCCGACUUCCUAGGAAACAGACCAGACCCUGGACAAGACGUGCAGGACAUCCCUAUGUCUACCCCGAGAUUUAGGAUGUCACUCUGUACCUGUCCAUCGUUUGAGGAGACAAGUGCAAUGAGAACUGUUGGAGGGUUUUGAGCAGAGAAGAGACAUGAAUGACUGGUGGUUUUGCCAAGAUCUUUCUAGCGACCCUGUUGAAAGAAGACUGCAGAACCAAGGAUGGGGAGGCAGGAAGACUAAGCUAAGAGCUGUAGCAGCUUCCAAGAGAGAGUGCUGGCCUUGGCUCAGACAAGAUGGGAGCAGUGGAGCGGCAUCGUGCUGGCUCCAAUCAAUUGCAUAAUGACUACCCUGCUGGAAGAAUUUUAGAACUCUGGUUUGCAAUUUUCAUUGUGGUCAUGACUCACGUGUCAAAUGACAUUUACAUAAAAGACCGUCUCAU